UUCUUACAACUGUCAAUUAUACCCAGUGAUGUCUCAAUUAGCACUUAUUAUAAAAAUUAAAAUUUAUAAUUCAACAUUUAUACCAUCCAGAAAAAGUUAAAAUAUAUUAAUAGCCUAUUUCUCUUCAAUAAAGCAUAUAUAUAACUGUA
rnacentral:sRNA from 1 species